rnacentral:lncRNA from 1 species
AUGCAACCAAAUCGACAAUUCCUCAACUGGCUGGAUGCCAAGUGGUGCAAAGGCAGAUUUUUUUGUUUCUUUAUUUUCUUGACUUUGCGCAGAUGCAUAUCGGUUCGCUUUCAGGAACGAUACCUGGGGAGGCGCUUUGCAUCUCCAACCAAACACACGGAAACUAUAUCAGUUGCAGGGUAUUUGACGGCAGUCUGUCAGGACACUCGUUACCUCAGAUAAUAAACGGUCCAGGGGUUUUACAUAUCACCUAGGCAACCAUGAAUGACUUUUACUUUCCUUGUCUCUGGUGUGGUAGGGCCAACUCCUCGGCAGAAAUCCAUUUGGUUUGUCCCCCCCCUCCCCCUCCUACUACUACCGUACUACUACUCCUUGUUUUCCACUAUAAAUAUAUAAAUAUCUAAACUGUACAUGAAUACAUAGAAAGCACUAUCGAGGUUUGAUUGUUAGAUGUGCACUCGCAGCAUGAGCUUUUAUUCUCACCAUCUAUUAUUCCUUCAUAACUCGGAAAAAGAAAGAAUUACAUCUUUUUGGACAAAAAAAGUAUAUAAUAUCCAGAAUGCAGUAGCCUCAUACUGAUGUCAAAGAAUAUUGCCCACCCCUCUGUCCCUCCCCCCCGAUCCACCCUGACCCCUCCCCGUGCCCCGGCCCACCUGCCCCACCCCUUCCAAUGUACAUGCCAGUGCCCCCUCCCCGUUCCAUGUGUUCCAAGUGCCAAUAACUAUGUGAAUCCUUAACUGUGACCCAGUAAUAAAGAUAAUUGCACAUUAAAACUACUGUAAAGAUACAAGGAAAACAGACUGAGAAAAAAUAAGGAGAAAAAAAUCUGAAUAUCUUAAUAAAAAGGUUUGUAACAAAGAUUACACGUGUUUCUGUGUCUUUAUUGUUUGUCCGUGUUGGGGUUCAUGCCAUGCUUCAAAUGUGCUCAACUAGGAGUGUGUAUGAUUGAACACAUCUGAAAUGUUGGCUCAGUAUAAAUGAAAUAUAGAUGGGUCCGAAACAAUGCAAUAUCUAGGUCUACAAAGAAAUGUUUAGGUUAGAUGUAAAACAAUUAUUUUCACAAUAGGAAUUACCAUGGUAAAAAUAAAGUAUAUUUGUGUCCCUAAAAAAGGCCCACAUAAAUGAAUGUGGCUACACGUUCUAAAAAAAAAAAGGGCAGAAUGAGCUGGAAUGCACAUGGGGACAUUUCGUGAUGAGAAGUAGAAUAUUUAGGGAUUAUCUAAAGGGGUGCAAUUUAGGCUAAAAGGAGGGUCUAAUGUGACCGUAAACCACGGGGCAUAUGGGGUAAGAGUUUAGGGUUUGGUUAUAGUGUUAGGAACUCUCUAAACUUGGCUUGAUUUCGUAGGGGAAUAGAUGUGGAACAUACUGUUUAUUGACUUCCAUCCUGAAAGUAAAGUGUAACCAACACGUAAAAUGAAUUUUGGAUGGGGUUCCAAUUUGAAUAGUUAAAGUUUAAACAUUACCUAUUUUGUAAAAUCAUAAUUUAGCCUUUAGGGCUCGGGUCUAAUUUGUGGAGUUUGAGGGUGUGGUUUUUGUUUUUUGGGCUAGGUUUCCGAAUGUUUUUUUCGUUUUUUUGGGCAGGGUUUCCUACUAGAGUUAGGUUUCAAGGUAAGGUGUUUGCUACUAGGGUUCAAUAGGGUUGUGGUUUCCUUUUAAUGGAUUAAGGGUUAAGUACUUGGUUGAGGAUUUCCUAUUAGGGUCAGGUUUUGGCUUUUGUUAGUGGUUCUAGGGAUUGGUAUUAGGGUUAGGUUUGUUAUUAGGUUCAGGUUUUAGGGUUUUCUUUGGGUUUAGGGUUUGGUACUAGGGUUAGGGUUGUUAUUAGGUUGAGGUUUGGUUUUGGUUCUAGGGUUUGUUACUAGGGUGACGGUUUCCUAUGAGGGUCAGGUUUAAGGGUUUGGUUAGAGUUGGGGUUUCCUAUUAGGGUAAGGUGUUAGGGAUUUGUUUUGUUUGAUGAGUUGGGGUUUCCUCUUAGGUUCAGGUUUUAGGGUUUGGU